UUGGCCCUGAAUCAAGGCCAGCAGUUGGCUGAAGCUGUUGGUUUCAAGCAGGUGCCUAAAUAAAUGUCUUUCUACCGUCUCUUGGCCAUUUCAGAAAUUUGAAAAUGUAACGGUCAAUUCAUUAGAGAGAAACAUCU